GUCGGGGUAGCUCAGUGGUAGAGCGAGCGUUUCAUAAGCGCUAGGUCGACGGAUCGUUCCCGUCCCCCGACA
rnacentral:tRNA from 1 species